rnacentral:rRNA from 1 species
UACGAAGGGGGCUAGCGUUGCUCGGAAUCACUGGGCGUAAAGCGCACGUAGGCGGCUUUCUAAGUCAGGGGUGAAAUCCUGGAGCUCAACUCCAGAACUGCCUUUGAUACUGGAGAGCUCGAGUCCGGAAGAGGUGAGUGGAACUGCGAGUGUAGAGGUGAAAUUCGUAGAUAUUCGCAAGAACACCAGUGGCGAAGGCGGCUCACUGGGUCAUUACUGACGCUGAGGCACGAAAGCGUGGGGAGCGAACAGG